AACGAACGUUGAUGGCGUGCCUCAUACAUGCAAGUCGAGCGCCCCGCAAGGGGAGCGGCGGACGGGUGAGUAACACGUAAAGAAUCUGCCCUGAAGCGGGGAAUAACUAUCCCAACGGAUAGCUAAUACCGCAUAAUGAUGGAGGAGGCAUCUCCUCUUCUCAAAAGGCUUCGGCCACUUCAGGAUGACUUUGCGUCCCAUUAGCUUGUUGGCGGGGUAACGGCCCACCAAGGCUACGAUGGGUAUCCGGCCUGAGAGGGUGUACGGACACAUUGGGACUGAGAUACGGCCCAGACUCCUACGGGAGGCAGCAGUAGGGAAUUUUGCGCAAUGGGGGAAACCCUGGACGCAGCAACGCCAUGUGUGGGAU
rnacentral:rRNA from 1 species